CAAGAAAUGAAUCAAGAAAUGAAUAUCAGAGAGCAUUCACAUUAUCUUUGGUUUGUUAUAUCUUAGAGAGGAUUGACGCUAUUAAUCAAGAAAUUAUUCAGCUGAAGAAGGGAAUUCACCAACAGGCAAUUCAAGACACGAGAAAAUAAGAUACAGAUAAUAAGGCUUCAGAGUAUGAAUUGACAUACUCAAUUUGCUUGGAGCAAGUUAACUAGGAGACCUUGUUUGAAGCUUGGUAUGUUUGCAUCAGUUUUCAGGGGCACAAGGGAUGGAUCAAUGAAAUGAACUUGUUGGGUGUAGUCAAGCACCCAAAUCUUGCAAAGUUAGUGGGAUAUUGUGCAAAAGAUUAUGAAAGAGGGAUUCAGCGGCUUUUGGUGUAUGAGCUCAUACGUAACAAAAGCUUAAAGGACCAUCUGUUGGCUCGGGUAGCGUCUCCUCUGCCAUGGAUGGCAAGAUUAAAAAUUGCUCAAGAU